UGAGCAAUCUGCCCUUCUCAUCGGAAUAAGCGUUGGAAACGACGUCUAAUGCCGAAUACGACCUCCUUUCGCAUGAUCGGAGGUGGAAAGCUCCGGCGGAGAAGGAUGAGCUCGCGGCCUAUCAGCUAGUUGGUGUGGGUAAUGGCCCACCAAGGCGACGGACGGGUAGCCGGCCUGAGAGGGUGACCGGCCACACGUGGGACUGAGACACGGCCAGACUCCGUACGGGAGCAG
rnacentral:rRNA from 1 species